rnacentral:rRNA from 1 species
UUUGAUCCUGGCUCAGAUUGAACGCUGGCGGCAGGCUUAACACAUGCAAGUCGAGCGGUAACAGGGGAGCUUGCUCCUGCUGACGAGCGGCGGACGGGUGAGUAACGCGUAGGAAUCUGCCUAGUAGAGGGGGACAACAUGUGGAAACGCAUGCUAAUGCCGCAUACGCCCUACGGGGGAAAGGAGGGGACNCUUCGGAGCCUUCCGCUAUUAGAUGAGCCUGCGUAAGAUUAGCUAGUUGGUAGGGUAAAGGCCUACCAAGGCGACGAUCUUUAACUGGUCUGAGAGGAUGACCAGUCACACUGGGACUGAGACACGGCCCAGACUCCUACGGGAGGCAGCAGUGGGGAAUAUUGGACAAUGGGCGAAAGCCUGAUCCAGCCAUGCCGCGUGUGUGAAGAAGGCCUUAGGGUUGUAAAGCACUUUCAGGGGUGAGGAAGGGUAGCUAGUUAAUACCUAGUUAUUUUGACGUUAGCCCCAGAAGAAGCACCGGCUAACUCUGUGCCAGCAGCCGCGGUAAUAAGGG